AGAGACAAGGGCAGGGGAAGAACCCUUCACCCAAAAAUCAUUCUAAUCUAUCAAAUUGAAGGGGUUGAAAGCUAAAUUCUAGGUGCAUGAGUUAGGAAUUAAGACCUCCUACGUAUGUUUGAUACCAAGCACGAAGAAAGAAGAAGGCACGAGCCAUUCAAAGUCUCAGGCAUCGCAAGAUCACGGUAAGUUCAUAUGAACUUUAUUUACUUUAAAUUUAUAUUUAUGAAUGGUAAUUUUGGUAUUUAAGCCUUAGUGUAAAGUCGCAUUGUUGAUCAUGAUUGAUAUCGAUACGUAGAGUCUUGAGAGAUGUUUAAGAAAUGAUGUAGUGACAGAUGUUUAAUGACCCGUUUUAAAUGGGUCGGAAAUGUUGAUUUGUAUGAUGUCAAAAUGGUUAAAGAAAGGACUCGUUGAUAACGGGUCAAAACGAGGAAAGUGAGUUAGUAAUGUAUGGUAAGAAUCGACCCAUUUCGGACGGGUCGAAAGGUCUAUGCUUGAAUGUUUUCGAUAUGUAAGGAUGAAUGAGUAUAAAGAAAAUUUACGCUUGCAAGGAAAGGAUGAUUACGACAAGAAUGUUGACAAAGUGAUGAAAUUGGUUAAUGGGUCGAAUAAUGAUAAGAAAAUAAAAGCUUAAAUUUUGUUUUAGUAAAUUGAACUGAUGAAUGUUUUGGUGUCAUGCAUGUUACGUAAAUCCCAUAUAUCACGAUGACGAGCUCGGAUCGAACACACUAAAUCGCCCUCUUUGCGCUUCCGGUUCAAGUUAUCUUUUUGUAAUGAGUCAAAAUAACUUUUGUGAUGUAAAUGUUAAUCUUAUGUCUAGGAUGUUCGUAAGUAGUUUGGAUUUUUAAAUCUUAUUUUGGGUAGUUCGGACAAAACACUUGUGAUCAAUCUUGUAUGGUCACAACUUUUAUAUCUUUUGAAAAGUGUCGUCGAAUUUAUUUUGAAUGAUGUUUGUUAAAAGCAGGGAAUCAUUUAUAGUACGAACGG
rnacentral:lncRNA from 1 species